GUCUACGACCAUUACCACCCUGAACGGGCCCAAUCUCGUGUGGUCUCAGAGGCUAAGCAGGGUCAGGCCUGGUUAGUAUUUGGAUGGCAGACA
rnacentral:rRNA from 1 species